rnacentral:rRNA from 1 species
UCGAGAAUAUUCGACAAUGGGCGAAAGCCUGAUCGAGCGACGCCGCGUGCAGGAAGAAGGGCUUCGGCCUGUAAACUGCUUUUGCGUGGGAAGAACUUUGACGGUACCACGAGAAUAAGGGGUUGCUCACCUCGUGCCAGCAGCAGCGGUAAUACGAGGACCCCGAGCGUUAUCCGGAAUUACUGGGCGUAAAACGUGAGCAUCCGGUUUUGCUAGUCUGAUGUUAAAUCUCAUUGCUCAACGAUGAGACCGCGUCGGAAACGGCAAGACUAGAGUGGGUGAGAGGCAAGCGGAACGUGCGGUGUAGGGGUGAAAUCCAUUGAUAUUGCACGGAACACCAAAAGCGAAAGCAGCUUGCUAGCGCUCUACUGACGGUCAAUCACUAAAGCGUGGGGAUCAAAA